rnacentral:rRNA from 1 species
GUCUACGGCCAUGCCACCCUGAACAAGCCCGAUGUCUGAUCUCGGAAGCUAAGCAGGGUCGGGCCUGGUUAGUACUUGGAUGGGAGACCACCUAGGAAGACCAGGUGCUGUAGGCA